rnacentral:tRNA from 1 species
AAGGAUUUAAGUUAAGUAAACUAGCAACCUUCAAAGUUGAAAAUAGAAUUCUAUCUAAGCCUUA